GAGGAAGAGUCAACAAGCACCCACAUGUCCCCAGUGGAGGCCGAGGGUGGUAGGAGCUGGAGGUUGGGUCUAGGGCCUGGGUGAGGGAGAACCCAUUGGGUCCCAGGGCCUGGGGUAGGGGCUUCAGGAAGGCUUCUAGGAUAAGAUAGGUGGCAUGGGGCUUGAAGGAUUUGGGUGGGUGGAGGUGAGUUGUAAGGGUACCCAGGCAGGUGGAGCAGUAGAUGAAAGGCAGGUAGGUCUGGGAGCUUGUGCGGUAGGGCCAGGGUGGGAAAUAAGGCUGGAAAGGGGAGCAACACCUUCCAAGUCAGGCCAAGGCACUGGGGAGCCACAGCAGGCCUGAGAGCAGGAGGGAUGUGGCUGAAGGGAGGAGAAGUGAUUCUGAGGGUGUGUCAAUCCUGCACCUCCCUGUCUGUCUGUCCCUCCGGGCCUGUGUCCUUUCAGCCAGGAAGGCAGGAAGCUCGGACUUUGAUCUCCCUCUUCCUUUCCUUGGGAGGUGCUGCCAAUAUUCAAGCUGACUCUGGGGGCAGAGCCAGGGGGCUCAGAGGCCAGGCCCUGGGGGAGGGCACAGGGCAGGAUCUCCGGCUGUAUCAGAGGGCCUGGGCCUCUGAGGCCCCUGACCUUGCCUCCCCACUUGCCUUGGUACAGACCCUGCUUGCAGGUUCUCAGCCGGGGGCAAUAAGGCCCCAGGCACGUUUGCCAAUGUCUGGGGACAUAUUUGGUUGUCAUAACUGGGGAGGGGGUUGCUAAUGACAUCUACUGGGUAAAGGCCAGGGAUGCUGCUCAACACCCUGCAGUGCCCAGGAUGGCGCCACCACCAAAUGUCAGUGGUGUCCAGGUGAUGCCUCCAGCUAGAUGACUGGUAUGGUGUCUCCCAGCUAGGAACCUCGAUGAGGCUCUGUGGGCUGGGGUGUCGGGGUGGGGGGGUCUUCUGCCACACCUGUUGUCCUUGCAAGGUGAGCAUGAGCUCGGCCUUGGGGUCCAAGAGCUUCUCCCCCCUGCCCCUGCCCCCGGGCCUUCCUGUAGAAGGUUAAGCAAGGGCAGAGGAUGCAGUGGGCAGGGCCGGCUGGGACAGUGCACUCUUCAGUGUCGGAAGGAUUAUUCGGAGCUUCCUGUGGUGGCAGGGUGGGGUGAGCUAGCAGGGGGCUGGGGCCUGCUGCCAGGGCUGGGCUCCAGGCCUUGGUGAGGGCAGGGAUGGCAGAGCUAUGCCUCCUACCCUCCCACCUCCUCAGCCUCCAGGUAGUUCCAGCUUCAAGACAGGGACAAGGAAGAGUACAGGGACAAGGACAGGGAUGUGGAGGUGGAGGGAGGGGCCUUGUUGAAAGCUGUUUGCUCAGCUGAGCUUUAAUCUCCAAAACAGGAAGGAGGGUAUUGACAGAGGUCUGGUGUGCCAGGUUCAGCUCCCCGGGCCUCCUCCUGCCCCAAGGCUGGGGGAUCCAUAUAUACCCUGCUCUCAAGGGCUGCCACCUCUGCCCCAGCCCCUAGGCUGCACCCCUUCAUGCCCCAACCAGGCUGCACAGAGAGGGUACCUCAGCCCCUCUGCCAACCACAAGGAGUGUUGGGGCCAGAGGGCCUGGGCAGGAAGGUGAAGGUGGGGGGCUCCGGAGUCAUGGGCUUAGCAGGGUGUGGCUCUGGGCCUCAUUUUUCGAAUGAGGAAGCUGAGGCCCUGAGAGGGAAGUACGUGGGCCCAGCUCACAGGGGGUGGACGGGAGGAGGAGCUGCCUGUACCGCCACCUCAGUUCUAAGCAGGCUUGGGUGUGACUGUCUUCCCCCUCCCUGGCACACCAGGCUGCAGUGACAGUGACCGUUUGCCCAGGGAGUGUAGCUGACACCAUCCAUCUGCCCACUGCCAGAGGAAGCCGGGGGAAUGGCCACCCCAAGCACCUCGGGAUCGUCCUGGACCCUGCUCCCCCUGACAGCAAUGUCAGGUCCAGCGAUGGCCCAGUGGUACUGUAUCUCCCCCCCUUGCUGUUGACUCUGACUUGGUGGGACCCAGAUUUGAGGCCUGCCCACCAUCUGGGUCACUGUGGGCAGCUGGGCCCCUCUCCAGGCCUCGGUUUCUCUGGCUGCCCAGGGUGAAAAGCAGGUCCCAUCUCUAUGCCUAUACCAUACACGUUGUCGCUGGGUGCUGUCGGUUGAUAUCGACCCCACGUGAUGGUAGAAUGGCCUCAUACGGUUUUCUAGGCUGAAAUCUUUACGGAAGCAGAUUGCCAGGCCUUUCUUCUGAGGAUGGGUUUGAACUGCAAACCGGGGCUCCUUAUUCCACACCUAAGAUGCAUUGAUUCCUUGUUGUGAAUCAGAAUGGGACAAGGAGCCUGUGGUGGAUGCUGAGAGCUGCCCCUGAAUCCUAGAAGUGGGGCUCUGGCCCUUCCCCCAGCUCUCAUCGCCCCCACCCCCAGCCCCUGCCUCCUCUGCCUGCCCCCCACACCUUGGGCUUAGCAGAUGGGAAGUCCUCCCAUGGCCCUACCGUUGCUGUCCCCUGUGCCUGGAAUACAGGGACCUUGUCUCCACCUCCCCACACUCAGCUACCUCCUCUGGAAAGUCUACCAGGCUUGCUGCCUCUCCUGUCUAUACCUCAUUUAUCCCUGGGUCCCCCACGGCCCCCGGCACACAGGCCGGGCCCCCAGGAGAUGCUCAGUAGUGAGGCACUGAAUGGGGUAAAGAGUUUUCCCUACUUGCCCUCCACUAGAAUCAACAGAAGGAACCUUUAAGGGCCUCUGGGCCCUAGCCCCAUCUCACAGAUGGGAAGACUGACGCCUAGGGGAGCCAUGCAGUAAUGUCAUGUAGCUCCAGCCACCCCCUGUGUGUCUCCCACACCCUGGGGAACCCUGCAGCCCUGGGAGGCCAGGGCUUGGGGGUUCCCCCCAGCAGGUCCUAAAGGAGGACAGGGUGUUGGUUCACUGCAGGACUAAAUGGGGGCCUUCGGACGUAGGUAGGUAGUAGUGCCCUGGGUCGAGGCUCCCAGCAGGAGAUCCUGGCCAGAGAACAGCUGAGCUGGAGGUGUGGAUGGCCGGCCUGCUCCAGGAGGGUAGGGAUGAGGCAGCCGGGGAGACCCCCAGGCCCAACCACCCCCCAGCCUGCAGAAUGGGCAUUUCAGGGCUCUCUAGGUGAGGGAGGGGGUCUGAGACAUGGGCUCCAGGCUUCGCUCUGCCCCCCGCUUACAUGGAGUCUUAGGUAGCUCUGUUUCUCUGGGAUCUCUCUGCCUUUCCUACGGCUCUGAGGCCACCCCACCUCUGCAGGGCUGGGUACCAUUGUGGCAGCUCCCCUCCAGGCUCUGGAGCAUCCUCAGAGGCCAACCGCCCUCCUGUCUCAUCCCUGCCUGCUGUUGCUGUCACUCUAUUCUGGCGACCCAGUUUUCCUCCCUGUCUGUGCUGGUGGGGCAGGGGUCCUGGAGGAUAGUGUCUCACUUUGGGGCGGGGGCAGCAGGGGAUCGGGUGUCCCGAGCGGGACCAGCAGGGCGUCUACUGGCUGGGGGCAGGGGCCACGGCUUUCAGGUCUUCAAUAGCCUGAGAUUAGGUUCCAUCCCCUGGGGCGCCCGUUGUGCGGUCAUUGUGGUGGCUGUGGGAAGCGCCGCCCCCUGGGCAAGACAGGGAUGCACCUCCCUGCCUGCUGUCCACCGCAGCCCUGGCCUGGGGCUGGGCCCAGAGUCCUCGGCCCUCUCCAGGGUGGGAGGACCCCCUGGCAUGCAUACAUGCAUGUGCACACACAGCCGCUCAGAGACUAUGGGAAGCAUGAAGUCAGAGACCCUGAACCCUGCAGACCCCUUGUCACUGACCCAGCGAGGAUACUGCUGCUUAGGGCUACUACUUAGGAGAAGGAUCUCCCUCUUCACUUGGAGUCACUGGGUGACACAAAUAGUUAACUCAAAUGUUGGCAGUUUCAACCCACCCAGAGGCGCCUUGGCAGACAGGCCUGGCAAUCUGCUUCCAAAAGAUCACAGCCUUAAAACCCUACGGAGCACAGUCCUACUCUGUACAAGUGAGGACACCGUGAGUCGGAGUCGACUCCAUGGCAACUAACAACAACUUCGUGGCUUGUGGAGCUGAGUGUGGCCUGGAUUCCAAGCAUGUGCCUUUGAUCAGUGUACAACCUGCACAACUGUGCUGGGCAACCCCGCACUGCCCCCAGCCACUCCCCACCACCCUCAAGGUUUUCUUCAGUCUCUUCUGCUCACCUCAUACCCCUGCUCAGACUGCACGGUUUGUCCUCAGCUUUUGGCCAGCAGCUGACCAAAUUGUUUGCCAGCCCCCUGGUAGUGACAGGAAGCCGGGGAGGGCAGGCUGACGAUCUCAGCUCCCCGCUACACGGCUUGUGUUACUUCCCAUGAACCGAGUGUGUGAAUUCAGAGGGUGGGAAGGGGGUGAAGCACCCUCUCGACUACCCAUCUCUAUCUUGGUCACCCUCCUCGCUCCGUCCUGAAGACCUGCUCAGCUUGGUACCACAGACGGGGAACCAUGUAUGUCAUUGCCUAGACUGGGGCACUUUUUGUUAUUGUAGUAAAAUAUACACGACGUGAAGUUUGCUGUACAUUUCAGUGGCACUAAGAUAUGCCUGACCGAAGCCAUGGUGUAUUCAAUUGCCGCCUGUGCAUAUGAAAGCUGGACAGUGAAUAAGGAAGACUGAAGAAGAAUUGAUGUCUUAGAAUUAUGGUGUUGGUGAAGAAUAUUGAAUAUACCAUGGGCUGCCAGAAGAAAGAAUAAAUCUGUCUUGGAAGAAGUACAGCCAGAAUGCUCCUUAGAAGCGAGGAUGGUGAGCCUUUGUCUCACAUACUUCCAACAUGUUAUCAGGAGGGCCCGGUCUUUGGAGAAGGACAUCAUGCUUGGUAAAGUUGAGGGUCAGUGAAAAAGAGGAAGACCUUCAACGAGAUGAACUGACACAGUCGCUGCAACAAUGGCUCAAACAUAGCAGCGAUUGUGAGGAUGGUGUAGGACAGGACAACAUUUUGUUUGGAGCCCUGGUGGUACAGUGGUUAACACACUUGGCUGUUAACCAAAAAAGAUUCGUGGUUUGAACCCACUUCUUGGGAGAAAGGUGUGGCAGUCUACUCUGUAAAGAUCCUCAGCCUUGGAAGCCCUGUGGGGCAGUUGUACUCUGUCCCAUAGGGUUGCUAUAAGUUGAAAUUGACUUGCCAGCAGUGGGUUUGUUUUUUUUUUAUGAGUUGGAAUUGACUCAACAGCAAAGGAUUUGGUUUUCAUUUUUGGGUCCCAGGCAUAUCAGGUGUAUGACUACCUAAAGCCAUAAAGCCUCUCAGGUAGAGAUACAUGCGGGGGGGGGGGUCACACGUGUUCCCCGUACACCUGUGUGUGCACGCUCAUGGGUGUGCAAGUGUGGGCUGUGGUCACAGGGCAGCACUCACAUGCACAUGUAUACGUGUGCCUGUGUACAGAUGUGUGCGAAGACAUAUGUGCACACGCUGCAGCCCCUCCUGCAGCCCGGAGCCAGCUCCUUCCCUCCGGCACAGCUGGAGAUUCGGGAAAGAGGAGGCGGGUCUGCUGGCCACAUCCUCGGUCCCCAGAGAGGCGACCGUGGGCCAAGGUGGGGCUGAGUGUGGCCAGGCCCCCGCUGCACGUUUCCUGCCCGGCCCGUGGCCUUGGACCAGGCUUGGCCCACACCAGGAACGUACUGUCCACCCACGUGGGGCUCCUGGAAGCUGAGUCAGCUUCCCCCUGAGUUUGGGCUUGGCCUCUGCACCUCUUUCUCCAGGAAGUCUUCCCUGACCCUGCUGUCGCCCCAGCUGCCUCCUUCCUCAGAGCAAGCUGAGUCUGGAGCCUCCCCUGUAAGCUGUGUGGCCUGAGCAAGGCAGCUCGGCAUCCCCCAGCCCCUGCCUGGGCCAACUCGCUGUUGCCGAGACCCCAGGCCUCAGUGGACGUGUUUCCCAAGACCUCAUUGCUCUGAGCAGGGGUCGGGGUCCCAGAGGCAGGCAGGCUUUGCUCAGGGACACACAGCCAGUCAGCCAAAUGGGGUUGGCCCCAAGGUACCUGUCUCCUAGCUCCGGGCACCUGGGUUCGUGGCCCACCCGACAUCCUCCCUGGACCCCUGACUCCUGCAUGCCUUCUGACUGGGCUGCCCGCUCUCCCUUGGCCUGGCUUUGGGAGCGGAGGAGCCUCCAGGAUGGGGGUGUCCUCCGAGGGGCAGACCUGGUGGCCUCUCCAGGCACAGGGUGAGGCUGGGGGCCUCAGGAGGUAUUGGAGGGAGGUGGAUGUUGGCAGGGAGCCAGGAAUGUCAGGCUGGGAGUCCUCAGGGCCACCUUGACCAGGUCCAGCCUGAGCAGCUCCCCAGUGGCUCCAACAACCAAACCCUCUCUUCACGCAGCUGGAAACACUAUGAGAGGCCUGGUGUGCUGGACGCUGGAGACAGAGGAUGGCUAAGAUAUCAAAGACCACAGUCUUCAGUAUGGAUUGCACCUCGACAUAAAGAAAACAAAAAUCCUCACAACUGGACCAAUGAGCAACAUCAUGAUAAACGGAGAAAAGAUCGAUGUUGUCAAGGAUUUCAUUUUACUUGGAUCCACAAUCAACAGCCAUGGAAGAAGCAGUCAAGAAAUCAAAAGACUCAUUGCAUUGGGUAAAUCUGCUGCAAAGGACCUCUUUAAAGUGUUGAAGAGCAAAAAUGUCACCUUGAAGACUAAGGUGUGCCUGACCCAAGCCAUGGUAUUUUCAGUCGCAUCAUAUGCAUGUGAAAGCUGGACAAUGAAUAAGGAAGACCAAAGAAGAAUUGAUGCCUUUGAAUUGUGGUGUUGGCAAAGAAUGUUUAAUAUACCAUGGACUACCAGAAGAACAAACAAAUCUGUCUUGGAAGGAGUACAACCAGAAUGCUCCUUAGAGGCAAGGAUGGCAAGACUGCGUCUUACAUACUUUGGACAUGUUGUCUGGAGGGAUCAGUCUCUGGAGAAGGAUAUCGUGCUUGGCAAAGUACAGGGUCAGCGGAAAAGAGGAAGACCCUUGACGAGGUGGGUUGACACAGUGGCUAUAACAAUGGGGUCAAGUAUAACAACAAUUGUAAGUAUGGCGCAGGACCGGGCAGUGUUUCGUUCUGUUGUACAUAGGGUCGCUAUGAGUUGGAAGCGACUCGAUGGCACCUAACAACAACAAGAUAUUUAAAAAAAAAAAAAAAAAAAACAGAAAACAACAAA